rnacentral:RNase_P_RNA from 1 species
GUUCUUCCGCACCAUCUCCUUUCAGGAGCAAGGUUUUCCGAACCACUCCUUUGAUGGGUUUGCCGUCGAAAGACGGGCGCCGCGAGGCGCAGCGCUGCCACAGAAACGACACAGCCGUUUUUGAGUUAUGAAGUUUGCGCGGAACUUUGAAAAAACGGAUUUGAUGAAACGAGUAUCUCAAUCGGUGCAACUCCAAAUGGAGGCAUAGUUGAAUGUUAACAAAUUCCGUUCGUUAAAGACGAGGAAUUACAGAAGGCGGCCUACGCCCGACUUGC